UUCCCUUCGGGGACAUCCGAUAAAAUUGGAAAGAUACAGAAAAUAUUAGCAUGGACCCUGCGCAAGAAUGACAUGCACAAAUCGAGAAAUGGUCCAAACUCUU